rnacentral:rRNA from 1 species
GACGAACGCUGGCGGCGUGCUUAACACAUGCAAGUCGAACGGUAAGGCCCUUCGGGGUACACGAGUGGCGAACGGGUGAGUAACACGUGGGUGAUCUGCCCUGCACUUCGGGAUAAGCCUGGGAAACUGGGUCUAAUACCGGGUAGGACCACUGCCUGCAUGGGUGGUGGUGGAAAGCUUUUGCGGUGUGGGAUGGGCCCGCGGCCUAUCAGCUUGUUGGUGGGGUGAUGGCCUACCAAGGCGACGAAGGGUAGCCGGCCUGAGAGGGUGACCGGCCGCACUGGGACUGAGAUACGGCCCAGACUCCUACGGGAGGCAGCAGUGGGGAAUAUUGCACAAUGGGCGCAAGCCUGAUGCAGCGACGCCGCGUGAGGGAUGACGGCCUUCGGGUUGUAAACCUCUUUCAGCACCGACGAAGCGCAAGUGACGGUAGGUGCAGAAGAAGGACCGGCCAACUACGUGCCAGCCGCCGCGGUAA